AGGUCAUUUACAUAUAGCCCUUGCGCAGCGCCCUCGCUUGAUCUCAAGACUCUCUCACUUAUCAUUGUCUAUUGUUUAGCUUAUCUGUUCCAAGAAGUAGUGAGUCAUUCAUACCACAGCACAUGUACAGCCAACAUUGAUAUCUGUUCUGUGGCAAAAGUUCCAUCUAUUUCAUACAUUUUUCAUGGUACAAGUUAGAAAGGAGAAGUUUGGAAGAUCACCUCAUGAUGAUCUAUAGUGACUAGGCUGGGGUAAGUCUAUUUUACGUUGUAUUUUAAAGUUGAUUUGUUACUGCUUUUCUAGUCUCUAAAUGUUGGGAAAGUUACUUUGAUUUGGAACUUGGUUUAACUUCUUUAGAUAUUUCUUAGUGUUUCCUCUAUUAAGUUUACUUUAUUAUUACUUCUAUUAGUUGUAUUGUUCAUUUAUAGCUUUAGUUUCAUUUGUAUUUGAUUUAGUUUGAAAGCACUCUUAUGGGUGUUGUGAUCAAACUUUUCCUUAUUUUGUCAUUGUCUUAGACUAGAAGUAUUCAUACAGAGGUGUGUGGUUUUCCUUACUGUACCACCAUUGGCAUUGUGCAAUGUCAGUUGCCUCUUUGUGUGAGAGUAGAAAUGCACUGGGCAUAUGCUGGGUGAUGUUUGUGGUUAGGAAGUGAGCAUAUCGAUAGUCAGUAUUGCUGUGCAGCAUAGCUUAUCGAUAUAGCAUCCUUUAGUGUACACUGCCACAUAAGGUUCAGUCAAGCAAUUGAUAUGUGAUCACUGGUGUGUUGCCUGCAUGUUCUAGUCUUACACAGGGUUCUUUGUUUAUUGUUAACCUUGAUAAGAGUACACUGGGGAGAAGUAGGCUACUAUUCUCUACUGUAAACUCAUUAUGUAUUCGGUCUAAAACAAGUGCUGCCAGAGCUUAUGUUUCAUUAUACAAGUCUUUGGAAUGCCUAGCUGCAAUGUUAUUGUGCUGCUAUUGGGUUUAUUAAUUCUAAGGUUUAUUGUAGAACAAGUCUAUGCACUUUGACUAAGUUUUGUGAAUUAAUUAAUUAAGAGUCUCAAGUCAAAGCAAUCACUUGCCUUGUACAUUCUUGAUUAUUCUUUGAUCAGUAUUAACUUAAGGGUUGUGGUUCAAGUUCUUUAUUAGUUCUUUAUUCAUAAGGAUGUGAUUGGACUAAGUUGAGUUCAAGGUUUAUUGAGCAGAAAUAGAGAAAGAGGUUAUUUCCACAUUUGCUUUAGUUAUUUCCUAAUUUUGUCUCUGCAAGUUAAAGCAUUUACAUGCCUUGUAUUAAUUCAUUUUGGAAUUUAACUUGACUUUACAGUUAGAGGCAAACUGUGUUAUUGAGUUCGAUUUAUCUCUUUUGAUUGCAUUGGAUUAUCUGAGGAUUAUCAUUGUUCUUUUCAUAAUUUACUUUGCCAGAUUGGUAUUUCCUAAAGCAUUGUAUUUAUAUGGAAAUUCUAUUUUGUAUCAUUUCAGGGUUUAUGCUAACGCCAUAAUAAAAGAACAAGACAGAGUUAAUGUACAUCAUCCGCAUCUUGUCACAUUUUCUCGGUGUCACAUUUGGCGUCGUAGACAGGAUGGUGUAUUAAUACUGCAUCUACCCCCAGUCGAGGAUGAGGUGAGACUCCGGCGAUGACAAUGGGUCAACCAGAGCAAGAGAGUGCACCUGCUGCUUUUCACAAAGCAGGGGAGCACCACCCUGAGGAGGCAGAAGAGGAGGCAGAUGAGGCGAUCAUCAUACUGGAGACAGAAGGUGAGACUCCGGCGAUGACAACGGGUCAACCAGAGCCAGAGAGUGCACCUGCUGCUUUUCACAAAGCAGGGGAGCACCACCCUGAGGACCAAGCCCCUCAAUCUUCAGAUGUGCAAGAUCCAGAGAGAGCACCCGCUGCUGUACACAAAGCAGGGGAGCAUUACCCUGACGAUCUAGCCCCUCAACCCACAUCAGAAGUGCAAGAUACCCCACCGGAGCCCACUACAGAGGAGGAGGUCCCACUUGCCAAAGCGGAGCAGUUGCGCCACACCAGCCGUGCUGAAGCGGGACAACACUCCAAUCCCCAUCCACUCCCGAAGUCCAGUCCGAGUUACCGGCCGUAACUGUUAGAGCUCCUUCGAUCGAUCUCCAAGUUCUCGCAGACUUCAGUCGUUCCCAGUUGCUGUUAGCGCAGAUGUUGGCAGGAGUCCAGCGUUGACGACUUCAUUGUGUUUAGUAACAGAUUAUAUUUUGUACUCUCUUUCUUUUGUAUUAAUCAUUAAGUUAAUGUCAUAUAUUUAGUUAAGUUGUCGGGACGCCAACCUUUAAGCAGGGGAGUAUGUGACAGGUCAUUUACAUAUAGCCCUUGCGCAGCGCCCUCGCUUGAUCUCAAGACUCUCUCACUUAUCAUUGUCUAUUGUUUAGCUUAUCUGUUCCAAGAAGUAGUGAGUCAUUCAUACCACAGCACAUGUACAGCCAACAUUGAUAUCUGUUCUGUGGCAAAAGUUCCAUCUAUUUCAUACAUUUUUCAUGGUACAAGUUAGAAAGGAGAAGUUUGGAAGAUCACCUCAUGAUGAUCUAUAGUGACUAGGCUGGGGGUUUAUGCUAACGCCAUAAUAAAAGAACAAGACAGAGUUAAUGUACAUCAUCCGCAUCUUGUCACAUUUUCUCGGUGUC